GGGGUUAGCAUGACUUUCCUUCCCCACAGGUUUCUGACCACAUGUUGUCCAGGUUCUGAUGUGAUAAGUCCUGAAAAUCUGGUUCUCCGUGCAGAUGAAAACAAAGACAUAAUAAUAAUAAUAAUAUUAGCAAGAAUUCAUGUGGCCCAGGUUUGCUUCCAGCUGUUUCAUCCCACCCUCCCCCCGUCAUCCAGGAUCUACUGACUGAACUCAGUGGGACAGUAAGGCCAGAACAGCUGGAGAUUAGUAAUUUAUUUUAAAAAUUAGAAAAGGUAAGGCAUCCUGCGUCCUCCCCCUCUCUGACUCUGAACAGGACCUGUGCCCACCUGGCCCCUUCUUCGUUGCUUUAAAACCAAACUCUACCAAAAAAAUAAAAA